GCACGCUCGUGCGUGUGUGUGUGUGUGUGUGUGUCCAUGUCUACAUCUCAAAAGCCAUAUCUGGCUUCAGAUCAAAUGGUGUAUGAAGGAAGGGAAUGACAGAGAGAGAAAGUGAUAGCUCUUUAAUGUUACCUAUCCACUCUCAAACCCAAAUAUAAGACCAGGAACACAAGGAAUAGGCAAGUGUGUUUUAGAGGAAAAGGAGUGACAUGAAACACUUAUGUAGAAAAGCUGUGAACAUGACGUCGGCUUUGUAGCGGCAGGAAAAUGUCUCACAAAACCGAAAGAAAGUGAGUAAAUUGGAUGCAAGCAAGAGGGAAGGCAGGGGCACGGAAUGAAACGGCAGCGUGCACUGUAUUGUUUGCUCGUGUGUGUCAGCGAUGUUUUGUUUUUGACUGAAUGCUGUCGUGUCUAACUCACCUUUUGCUCAUUUUUCCCCAUUCCUGUUCCGGGAUGUUUAAACUUUCACUGUCAUCAGUGAAGGUGUCAUGGUAUGUAGCCUGAGCUGGAAUGGAUGAAAAUAUUUACUGUGUACACACCAUCCACAAAUCCUUUCCCUCUCUUGAUCCCUGGCUUUUAUUGUUUCCCUUCUCUCCCUGCUUUUUACUCCUGUCUUUGAACACGUGCACGCUCUGACACAGAUACGUGAAGAUAUGUGAAUAAAGGUGUUUCUAACAUAGGCUACUGUCCUUCUCUUUUGUGUGGUUAUUACACAUAGUAUCAAAUACACACAGAUGUUCAGUCCUCCACAUUCCACUUGUUGUUGCUCGCUCUUUUUGUCUUUACUACGAAAUUUC
ensembl:lncRNA